ensembl:lncRNA
AGGCGCAGUUUGCAAUGGGUGGAUCACCAUGAUUUGCGUAAGUGGAAAUUAGGCAAGUGGGAGAGGAUUUAACAUGGUAUGAGAGGGAGAGAGGACAGCAGCCUGAUGACGGUGGAGGGUUUUAGUGGAGGCAAGGGUGAAAAUGCUAAUGUUGCCUAAUGCUGUUGUUUCUAAUCUUGGUUUAUGUACAAUUCUCUGAGCUCCAUCUCAGACUUACUAAAUCAGAAUCUCUAGGAAUGAGGGCUGGGAACUUUUUUUUUUUUUUUUUUUUUAAGAUCAAUAAGAGAUUCGCAUGCUCAGUCAAUUCUGGCUGGCUGGCUCAAUUUCCAGGUCUCCAGUUACCAGGAAAUUAGUGUCAGCAAAUGCCACUGCCAGUAUAGAUACAGGCAAUAUGCUCUUCUAUUUGUCCAGCAGAAACCAGUAAGAAUACCCUUGUGUGUACUGCUUUCACUCCUUUAAGAUGUCUUUCAGAGACUUGACCUCGCAAUGUUGCAUUCCUGUCUCCUUAUGUGGUGGAAAGGAGGAAGAGGCUGGAGUCAGAAUGGAGAUGCCACACAGGUGUUUCAAAGACAUGAUAAAGAGAAUAGAGAUGGUUGCAAGCCAAAGUAAAUGAAACUGACCCACAUUAACAGUUUCAUUGAGAUAUAAUUGACAUACAAACAAGUAUAUAUAAGUAAAUUGUAGGUCCUUCUGGUUGUGCUAUAUGGGAUGCCACCUCAGCAUGGUUUGAUGAGCAGUGCCAUGUCCGCACCUAGGAUCUGAACCAGCAAAACGCCAGGCCGCUGAAGCAGAGCACCGAACUUAACCACUCGUCCAUGGGGCCAGCCGUUGGAGGAAUUUGUCAACAGUAACUUUGAAAGUCAGAAGACAGUGAAGCAAUGCAUUAGAAAAUCUGAGAGAAAGCUAUUUUCUAUCCUUGGUCAAACAAUUAAGUUUGAGGUAGAAUAAAGACAUUUCAAUCAUGCAAACUCCCGUUCUCCAGAAGCUGCUGAAGGAUAUGCUCCACCACAGUACAAGGUUAAAUCAAGAGAGAGGAAGACGUGACAAUCAGGAAAAAGAGUGUCUAGCACAGAAAAUGCUAGAGUGAUGGAUUUACCUAUAGAAAACCAGUCCAAAUUAGAGCAAAAGGACUCCAGGAUGGAGACCUCCAAAAAAUAAACAUGAAGUAAUAAAAUAAAAUAAACUGAUGCUUUUGACUAUGUGGAAAAUAGAAUUGAAACAGUUUUUUGGCAUCUGUUAUUAUAUCUGGAGAAAAUUAUAAUAGUUUUGUUUUAGGAACUUCAGGUACAACCACACAAGAAUGAGAGUCAGAAGCACAAGUCAAGCAGUCCUGGGAUUGUAUACCAUAUCGGGUUUCUGUCACUCGUUCUGGCCUUGGGUUAAUCUCAUUAAGCUUGAGUUUCUCAAAGGAUAGAAUGAAGCAUAAUUCACAAUAGCCAAGAUGUGGAAGCAACCCAAGUGCCAUUCUACAGGUGAAUGGAUAAAGAAGAUGGGGUGUGUAUAUAUAUAUAUAUAUAUAUAUACACAAUGGAAUACUACUCAGCCAUAAAGAAAGACAAAAUUGUCCCAUUUGCAACAACAUGGAUGGACCUUGAAGAAGGAAGAAUGCUAUGAUCUACUUCCCGAGAUGAUCUAUGCCUCUUGGAGAUGAGCUUUGAGUCUCCAGCUUUUGGCUGGCAUCCACUGACUUGCCCAAUUCAGAACUUAAGGCUCAGAAAGCGUGAACUGCUCUCUGCAGAUCACAAGGCUAGGAAGUGACUUAAGCAAGUGGGCUGUCUCCAGAUUUGUGUCUUCUCUAUCAUAAGGACCUAAGUCACCCAAAAGUGAUCAAUCAACUAAGACUUCACUCAAAGUGAUGAGACUGACGUCAAGGAUGGGAAGAGGAUGACAAGGUCAUGCAGCGGUUGGUGACAGAACCAAGAUGAGGGCUUUUGUCCUUGAAGCAGACUAACCACACCAGGUUCAGGAAUGUAGGCAUUAGAGAAAAUCACUGCCAAGCCUCUGCCUCUUUAUUCUUUCUAGAACUUUAGAAUUCUUGAUGCAAUUGCAAUUGAUUGACUCUUGCUAAGAAAGGAACAUUCAGGACAUGGUGUUGGAGGAAACAGUGGGAGAGUCACUAGAUCCGACUGAGGUCUUCACGUUCAUGGACCUAUUUUUGUGUGUGUGUUUCUAGUGAGCUAAGCAAUGGUUUUGGCAGGGAGGCAUAGACAGCCUACUGAAAUGGUAAUCCUUACACCUACAUCUGUAUGUGCUUGUAUGUCCAUUAUCUCAUUGAACCCCUAAACCAACUCUGUGUAGUACCGUUUUACAGCCAGUAAACCACAGAGUCAGGGCUCGAACCCAGCUUUCUGGUUUCAGGGACCUGUCCGUUGUACAAUUACCACAUUCUGGGGAAAGUUAGGAAAUUCCCUCUAGAGACUGUAAGCAGUUGGUGGACGAUGAUUUGGAAACGCAAGAGAUCCAGUUAAAAUCAUGCUUAGAUCAUAGUUUUAAUUUUAUCAUCUUGACCAUGGAAAUCCAAUGUCAUCCCUAGCCCUUUACUGCAUCCAUAGGAGAAAAGACCAAGAAAAAAGAAGUCCUAUCUGUGGGUGCUUUUAUUCAGAAAUCAUACUUUUCUUUUUUGUGACAUGACACAGUGGAAAAAGCAUAAUUUGGGGGUAAAAUCCUGCCUCCUCCGAUUAUUAGUUGUAUGAUACUGGCCAAGUUCUUCUAAUGUCUCUGAGCCUAGGUUUUCUCAUCUGUGAAAUGUGUCAUUGUGAGAAUGGUGGAGAUAACUUUAAUAUAUAGUUUGACCAAUGCUUGGGAUCUAGUGAGCAUUCAAUGUCUCUAAAUCAUUCCAGAAAUAGAGUGAAGAACAUGUUUAUUCUCUCUUUGCUUUUUCCCCAGAUAGUAUGCAUGAAAGCUUGCUUUCUUUCACUUUACUCCAUCUUCAACAUUCCCUGUCUCAAUAAGCAGCCUCACCGUCUAUCUAAAUGAAACCUAACUACCGAUAACCUCUGCUUGUUUUGCUCUGCCCCUGUCCCUCACCACUUAAUUGAAUCAGCGUUCAAGCAGGGUUGGUGCUACCUUUGAAACUGUCUCAAGUCUGAAGACUAAUUCCUCUACCUGCACCCCUUUCUAAUUCUGUCCCUCAUUAUCUCUCUCAUGGGCUGUGAAAGUAGCUAAAAAGCUGGUCUUGUCUGGGUCAG